AUGGCCACAUCACGUUGAAGUAUUGAUUCCCGUAUGAUCACCAAAGUUAAGCAAUGUUGAGCUUGGUCAGUACCUCGAUGAGUGACCAGUUGGGAAUACCAGGUACUGUA